rnacentral:rRNA from 1 species
ACGGCAGCACGGAGCUUGCUCUGGUGGCGAGUGGCGAACGGGUGAGUAAUAUAUCGGAACGUACCCUAGAGUGGGGGAUAACGUAGCGAAAGUUACGCUAAUACCGCAUACGAUCUAAGGAUGAAAGUGGGGGAUCGCAAGACCUCAUGCUCGUGGAGCGGCCGAUAUCUGAUUAGCUAGUUGGUAGGGUAAAAGCCUACCAAGGCAUCGAUCAGUAGCUGGUCUGAGAGGACGACCAGCCACACUGGAACUGAGACACGGUCCAGACUCCUACGGGAGGCAGCAGUGGGGAAUUUUGGACAAUGGGCGAAAGCCUGAUCCAGCAAUGCCGCGUGAGUGAAGAAGGCCUUCGGGUUGUAAAGCUCUUUUGUCAGGGAAGAAACGGUGAGAGCUAAUAUCUUUUGCUAAUGACGGUACCUGAAGAAUAAGCACCGGCUAACUACGUGCCAGCAGCCGCGGUAAUACGUAGGGUGCAAGCGUUAAUCGGAAUUACUGGGCGUAAAGCGUGCGCAGGCGGUUUUGUAAGUCUGAUAUGAAAUCCCCGGGCUCAACCUGGGAAUUGCAUUGGAGACUGCAAGGCUAGAAUCUGGCAGAGG